GACGAAGGGGGCUAGCGUUGCUCGGAAUCACUGGGCGUAAAGGGUGCGUAGGCGGGUUUUUAAGUCAGAGGUGAAAUCCUGGAGCUCAACUCCAGAACUGCCUUUGAUACUGAGAAUCUUGAGUACGGGAGAGGUGAGUGGAACUGCGAGUGUAGAGGUGAAAUUCGUAGAUAUUCGCAGGAACACCAGUGGCGAAGGCGGCUCACUGGCCCGUAACUGACGCUGAGGCGCGAAAGCGUGGGGAGCAAACAGG
rnacentral:rRNA from 1 species